AUAACCGAGAAAAGAACAUAACCGACUCUCACAGAUAUUUUUGAAUUUUUUAAUAUUUUAAGUUACUUAAAAUUAUUUAGCAAUGGUACAAACUUGCUGCAUUAUUGGAUGUAAUAUCCGAUCACACGACUGAAACGGUAAAAAGAUGGAAAACGGACUUUCGUUUCACUUUUUUCCUGCCUGUAAACAACGCAAGGAGGCUAGGCUAACGGAGCUUACGAAAAGGAGACGAAUGUCUUGGGUAUCAGCGGUGAGACGUACUGAUGUUUCGUUCUCCAACAUCCCAAGAUAUCUACAAGUUUGCUCCAGACCUGUUCAUUCUGGCAAACCGACGUAUUAGCUCAAUCCAGACUGAAUCGGGCCUCUGCGAGGUAAACGCCACAACAUCGGACCGACAUGCGCGUCAAUUAAAGAGGUGAUACAGCAAGACCAUGGUGGAUCAACAAGUUACAGAGACUGUUUUUAUGAUUUACCCCAGAGGAGGUAAAUCAUGAAAACACAGUAGCGGAGGCUAUGGAAGAGGAGCGAGUUGGAGAGUCUAAGGAGGAAACCCCAGGAGAAGAGCUCAGCAAGGCUGCACACUCUGAAGAGGAACAUGAACCAUUUGUGUUGAAAUAUGUGUUCAGUUGGAAGUGGCUGUUUUCUCUCUUUUAAUAAUUUAAUGUGGUAAACAUUCAUGGAACGUUUGAUUCAAGCACUUCAAGUUGCAUGUAAACGGGUGAUGAAAUGAAUCACAUUUCAAGUAAAAAUUUGAUAUUUAAAAUAUUUCAGGUAAUAAACAUGCAUGUAAUGAAAGAUUCUGUUUUUAAAUAAACAUUUUAUGUGAUUAAUCAAUUAUAUAAUCAGACAUUUUGCAGUAAACAUUUAAUUUAACAGGCAAACCAGAUGAAAGAGCCCAUCUUUAAACAUUUCAUGUGUAAUUAAUUAGUUCAGAGUAAACAAUAAAGGUGACAAGUAAAAGUUAUGAAAUAGAUCACACUUUAAGUAAGUAUUUUUUGUAUUUAACAUAUUUCAGGGAAGAAGUGAACAUGUAAUAAAAUAGAUCCUGUCCUAGAAUUGUAUGUAAUUGAACAUUACAGGUAAUAAAUGUGAUGAUCAUCUAA